GCGUCGAAAUUAGCACACCCUACCUCCAUGGUCCAAGUGGUAAAUGCUGCAGUUUCUUGCAUCCCCGCGAAAAAUACACUGAUCACCGACACCAUAAGGACUAAAGGAGCGCAGCAGCCGUGUCGCUGACUUCUCAAGGUGUCCUGUUCAGGGUCAUGGGUGACUGGAGCCUAUGGGCACAAGGCAGGGAACCCAGGGUGGGAACCAGGGAACAGGCAAACUCCACGCAUGUGGACUCGACGCAUGGAGAACAGGCAAAUUCCACGCAUGUGGACUCGACGCAUGGAGAACAGGCAAACUCCACGCAUGUGGACUCGACGCAUGGAGAACAGGCAAACUCCACGCAUGUGGACUCGACGCAUGGAGAACAGGCAAAGUCCACGCAUGUGGACUCGACGCAUGGAGAACAGGCAAACUCCACAAACACGGACUUGACGUGGGAAGAACACGCAAAGUCCACACGUGGACUCGACGCAUGGAGAACAUGCAAACUGCUUGUCAAAGCCCCCUCCUUUUAAAGUCGGUUUUCUUUAUUGUGAAUGCUCUGAUCUUGUACACCAUGGAUGAAAUGAUCUCUAUCUGCCAUUUCCACCAGUACAUCAGAAUGCCUUGCUUUACAUAUCCCAUCACGCUCUCUUUUCAGACAUCUACACAUACAAACAACUGAGAGCAAAGCUGGGGUCUGACCUCAGGGCCAGAACAUUUAUCUGAUGCCCCUGGAGCACUUUGGGGGGAAGGGGGGGGUAUGUUGGGGGUCUUUCAAGGGCCCAGUGGAAAUGUAAAAUGUUUUGCCCCGAGUUCCUGAAAGAUUUAGAUGUUGUGGGGCUGGAGAGAUUGUCUUCUGGCUGCCCUGGAAAUGCCUUGGUAUCCCUCUAGAGGACUUGGAAGAGGUGGCUGAGGAGAAGGAGGUCUAGGCAUCUCUACUCAACUGCUGUCCUCGCAACCAGGACCCGAAUGAGCAGAGGAGGUUGGAUGGAUAUUUAAAGACACUUUGCCUCAAUUACUAAUUUCCAGAAGAUCAACAUCUUCAAAAAAUAUCUGAGCACAAGAACAGGAUGGACUGUUGGACUUUAUUUGUGACAAAAAGGACAUAUUUAAUUACGCUCAUAUGUUGUUAGAUGUUAUAGAUUGUAUUAUCUGUAAGCAUAUGCUAAACAUAAAAAGUAAAUAAGUAAAAUGCAUAGGAUUCUGAACCAAGCCAACAGUAGCACUCCAUGCUUGUAAUAAAAUCUUUUCCACGA